UACGUAGGUGGCAAGCGUUAUCCGGAAUUAUUGGGCGUAAAGCGCGCGCAGGCGGUUUUUUAAGUCUGAUGUGAAAGCCCACGGCUCAACCGUGGAGGGUCAUUGGAAACUGGGGAACUUGAGUGCAGAAGAGAAAAGCGGAAUUCCACGUGUAGCGGUGAAAUGCGUAGAGAUGUGGAGGAACACCAGUGGCGAAGGCGGCUUUUUGGUCUGUAACUGACGCUGAGGCGCGAAAGCGUGGGGAGCAAACAGG
rnacentral:rRNA from 1 species